UACGUAGGGGGCAAGCGUUGUCCGGAAUCAUUGGGCGUAAAGCGCGUGUAGGCGGCUUGGUAAGUCCGCUCUGAAAGCCCGGGGCUCAACCCCGGGAGGCGGGUGGAUACUGUCAAGCUCGAGUCCGGAAGAGGCGAGUGGAAUUCCUGGUGUAGCGGUGAAAUGGCGCAGAUAUCAGGAGGAACACCAAUGGCGAAGGCAGCUCGCUGGGACGUGACUGACGCUGAGACGCGAAAGCGUGGGGGAGCAAACAGG
rnacentral:rRNA from 1 species